GGAAAGAUAUAGAUGAGAAAAGAAUAGAUUGGACAGAAGCGAAGCCGAAAAAACGGAAUGCCGUGCCUUGUUCCCAUUUGGAUCAGCGGUCAAGACAGAGCUAGCGAGGCAGCUCCACCAAAAUAGCUAAAAAGUAAAAGGAAACAAAAUAUAGAAUAGAAGAGAAUAGAAAGUUACAUUAGGAGAUUGCAGUGAAAUGAAGAAAAUAAUGAGGAAAGAUGAAUUACUUGGUUCAUCCCGUGAGGUGGAAUCUGGGGUUUUCCCGCCCGAACCCCCUGUGCAAUUCAUAUGAUAACAAUAAACACUGAAAUUGAACGUUAAUGUGAAGAGGCGAUGGAGAUGUCAUCACGAAUGAAUGAGGUGGAAGAUGUUUCUCCUGCAGAUGGCGUCCCUGAGCUGGCCAAAGAGUUGGAGCGUAUGGUGGAUAGAUACAGCAGCGGGAGGAGCAAUUUUGUUUGGGAGGAUGAGGAGGCAGAAGACGAGGACAUGUCCCUCUUGCAAUUCCUAGCCAUGGUGGAUCGCAUCUCCGCUGCUUCGGCUUCCUUAUCAUCUUCUUCUUCCUCCUCUUCUACUGUGAUUGCCUUCCAGGAGGAGUUGGACCAGAUCGCCUUCGUCCUAGAAAAAGCAAUGUCCCUACUAGAGAAACAUCUUUCUCAUCUUCUACACGACGACCCCAAAUCUAAACCACCCAACAAAUCCUUCUCUUUUAAUUCUCCUUCAUACCUUUCUUCUGUUCCCGAGUCUCCCUCCCCUAGACCACCACAGCAAGAUCACCACACCCAAGACCCCUUUGAUUUCUCUCCGCAAAAGAUUUCUACUUUGAACAAGAUCGCCACUGCCAUGAUCUCAGCCGGCUACCACAUCGAGUGCUACUUGGUUUUUGCUAGUUUCAGGCGAACUGCUUUCAGAACCACGCUCCAAACAUUUGGAUUCGGGAACACCAGGAUGGAAGAUUUGUGUAAAAUGUCAUGGGAAUCCCUUGAAGCUGAAAUUGCAACGUGGAAUCAAGUGGUUUGGCACUGCACCACCGUGCUUUUCAAGUCUGAAAGAAAACUUUAUAAAUCCAUCUUCCCCGAUCAUCCCUCCAUUUCUCAAAACUUGUUCUGCGAUCUUGCACGACAAGUCAUCGUCCAUUUGCUCAACUUUGCACAGUGUGCUGUUCUAACAAAAUGGACCACUGAGAAACUUUUCAAAUUUCUAGAUAUGUACGAGACCCUGAGGGAAGACGUUAUCGGAGGUUCCUACCUGGAGUCGGGAGCUAAGGAGCUGGCGUAUGAGGCAGGCACCGCAAGGGACAUGAUAGUAGAGGCUAUUAUGGCCAUGUUUUGUGAUCUGAAGAACUCGAUCAAGAACGACAACGAAAGGAUUCCUGUUCCGAACGGUGCAGUGCACCCCUUGACUCGGUAUGUAAUGAACUAUCUAAAAUAUGCAUGCGAGUACAAGGAUACGUUGGAGGAAGUGUUUGAACAAGGAGAAAGGAUAAAUGAGAAGGAGGUGAACGAAGUGGAAGAUGUAGAGAAGCGGAAGAAUUCGGGUUUUGCAGUGCAGUUGAUGAGCAUAAUGGAUCUUUUGGAUGCAAAUGUGGAAAGGAAAUCACAGUUGUACAGGGACGAUGCUCUGAGGUAUUUUUUUCUGAUGAACAACGGGAGAUACGUAGUGCAGAAGGUGAAAGGGUGUGAGGAGCUUCACGAGCUGAUGGGUGACAACUGGUGCAGGAGGAGGCAGUCGGGUCUGAGGUUGUACCACAAGUGUUAUCAGAGGGAAACGUGGACUAAGGUGCUGCAGUGCCUGAAGCCGGAGGGGCUACAGCAGGGGACUGGGAAUAAGGUCUCCAAACAGCUCGUGAAGGAAAGGUUCAAAUGCUUCAAUCGGAUGUUUGAAGAGAUACACAAGUGUCAGAGUUGUUGGAUGGUGAGCGAUCAACAACUGCAGUCGGAACUCAGAGUUUCCAUCUCCUCUUUGGUCAUCCCCGCCUACCGCUCCUUCGUUGGAAGAUUCAAACAACAUCUUGAAUCAACCAGACACAUCGACAAGUAUAUCAAGUACCACCCAGACGACAUUGAGCUUUUGAUUGAUGAUUUCUUUGCCGGUAAUGCUGCCUCCAUGCCUCGGAGGAGGUCAUGAAGGAAGACACCACAUCCUCCACCCACAUACCUCAAACUAUUUCUUUUCUUUUCGUCUCCUGUAAUAUUAAUCCUUAUUUUCCUCUUAAUUGAUGAUAGUUUAGUUUUAAACUGAACUCAUCUACAAUUUAAUUCUUUUUAUUUUUGUCAAAAAAAUUAUAUUACCUCUAACCCUUUCGAUAUAGGACUUUUAUUUACUAUUUUAAAUUCUUAUUUUAAUUUAAUUUACAAAACAUGUUUCUAUUUUUCUCUCACUAAUACCAUAAUAUUUGUGUAUAUGGUAAUUAAUAUAUUUUAGUCCUUAAAUUAUUAGAUAACCCCCCGCCUUGACUUUGAAGAUACUGAUUCAAGAAGAAAAAGUAUAAAAUAAGUAUACAUUUGUAGAGUAAAGUAACCAAGAGAGGAGAAAGGGGCGGUGGAGAUGGAGAGAGAGAGGGAGGUGGUGAGUGUGCUGCACGGUGGUAUGAUCAUAACCAUGGACGAGGAGCAGCGAGUGUUUAGGGACGGGGGAAUCGUGAUCGAAGGAGAUAGAAUCAAAGCUAUUGGACAAUCUGCACAAAUUCUUGCUGAAUUUUCUGAUGUGGCCCACCACAUCCUCGAUCUCACCGGCCACAUCUUACUCCCUGAGUGACAGGAUUUAUUAACACCCACGUCCAUAGUUCCCAACAACUCGCUAGAGGCAUAGCCGAUGAUGUGGACUUGAUGACCUGGUUGCAUCACCGCAUCUGGCCCUACGAAUCCAACAUGACCCAACACGAUUCUUACC